rnacentral:rRNA from 1 species
UUAACACAUGCAAGUCGAACGCUGAAGCCUGGUGCUUGCACCGGGUGGAUGAGUGGCGAACGGGUGAGUAACACGUGAGUAACCUGCCCCUGACUUCGGGAUAAGCCCGGGAAACUGGGUCUAAUACCGGAUACGACUGCCGGACGCAUGUCUGGUGGUGGAAAGUUUUUUCGGUUGGGGAUGGGCUCGCGGCCUAUCAGUUUGUUGGUGAGGUAAUGGCUCACCAAGACGACGACGGGUAGCCGGCCUGAGAGGGCGACCGGCCACACUGGGACUGAGACACGGCCCAGACUCCUACGGGAGGCAGCAGUGGGGAAUAUUGCACAAUGGGGGAAACCCUGAUGCAGCGACGCAGCGUGCGGGAUGACGGCCUUCGGGUUGUAAACCGCUUUCAGCAGGGAAGAAGCGCAAGUGACGGUACCUGCAGAAGAAGUACCGGCUAACUACGUGCCAGCAGCCGCGGUAAUACGUAGGGUACGAGCGUUGUCCGGAAUUAUUGGGCGUAAAGAGCUCGUAGGUGGUUGGUCACGUCUGCUGUGGAAACGCAACGCUUAACGUUGCGCGUGCAGUGGGUACGGGCUGACUAGAGUGCAGUAGGGGAGUCUGGAAUUCCUGGUGUAGCGGUGAAAUGCGCAGAUAUCAGGAGGAACACCGGUGGCGAAGGCGGGACUCUGGGCUGUAACUGACACUGAGGAGCGAAAGCAUGGGGAGCGAACAGGAUUAGAUACCCUGGUAGUCCAUGGGCGUAAACGUUGGGCACUAGGUGUGGGGGGCAUUCCACGUUCUCCGCGCCGUAGCUAACGCAUUAAGUGCCCCGCCUGGGGAGUACGGUCGCAAGGCUUUUAAAACUCAAAGGAAUUGACGGGGGCCCGCACAAGCGGCGGAGCAUGCGGAUUAAUUCGAUGCAACGCGAAGAACCUUACCAAGGCUUGACAUACACCGGACCGUCCUGGAAACAGGUCCUCUUCUUUGAAGCUGGUGUACAGGUGGUGCAUGGUUGUCGUCAGCUCGUGUCGUGAGAUGUUGGGUUAAGUCCCGCAACGAGCGCAACCCUCGUUCUAUGUUGCCAGCACGUGAUGGUGGGAACUCAUAGGAGACUGCCGGGGUCAACUCGGAGGAAGGUGGGGAUGACGUCAAAUCAUCAUGCCCUUUAUGUCUUGGGCUUCACGCAUGCUACAAUGGCUGGUACAGAGAGAGGCGAACCCGUGAGGGCAAGCGAAUCCCUUAAAGCCAGUCUCAGUUCGGAUCGUAGUCUGCAAUUCGACUACGUGAAGUCGGAGUCGCUAGUAAUCGCAGAUCAGCAACGCUGCGGUGAAUACGUUCCCGGGCCUUGUACACACCGCCCGUCAAGUCACGAAAGUCGGUAACACCCGAAGCCGGUGGCCUAACCGUAAGGAGGGGGCCGUCUAAGGUGGGACUGGUGAUUGGGACUAAGUCGUAACAGGU